GACAAACGCCGCGCGGCUCAUACCGGAGCAGAGGCAGUCAAGCUUCUGUCCGCGAAAAUCUGGAUCCUUUAGAACCCGAGCAAUGUACUCGUGUGGGAAUACAAAAACAUUUCCCGCGGCGUGGCUUUGCACCGACAUAGGUACAGGCCCGAAGUGCUCCCCGACGCCCUGCCGGCGCCCGGGAGCCACAGGGGGAGUUCGCCUCGAGCUGACCGGGCUGCAGAGGGCGGGCAGCUCCCAGAAGUGCACUAAUUGAGUCACAAACCACGGGCCGCCCCUAACAAAGCGAUCCAUCUCGGCCGCUCCGCGCCCAAUUUGUCCGCAGUACUUUCUUCCGCAAUUCAGAAGCAUUAUCUUGUUUUUAGAAGUAUCGCGGCAGAAACGUGGCAAUUAUCCUGGGCUCGGGUUACGCUAAAUGGCUUUAGGCUGAGAAAUGGAAGAAUACAAAUGCCGCGAACGUGCUGAUCGCCUCGCUGCCAAGCCUGGACCUGGGGUAGGGGAAGCGAGCCAGAAGAUUACGGAGGGGAGAGGGAGGUCCGGCGCAAGUGCCCACUCUUGGCCCUCUCCCAAUGGCACCGGCCAGAAAGAAGUGUUGGGCCUUUGUCCCUAGAGGUUAAGGAUUCUGAGCGAUGAACCCUCAGAGGUUGGGAGAGAAGGGGUCAUAUUCUAACAUCACCCGGCUAAGCUUCUGGCCUCGGCUUUGGGUCAGGAACAGGUUGGGAGCUUCAGGCACUGAUGAGAAAGGUGCUUGGCAUCUGAUGUUGAGUGCGUCUUCUGGCUAAGUCUGGAGCUUGGCGAGUCCCUGAGCCUGAGCCUUCUCAGAGCGCAAUUGAAGUCGGCCCUUUUCCUCCAGAACAGCAAGUGGAUGGGAAAGAACCUUGACAACACAAAACUCAUUUACUAAUGGACUGGUUUUGGGUUUCUCUUCUCCGGGUCCGCAAAUCGCCCUGCCUGAGCCCUCGGCCUAUUCAGACCUCGCGGGGAGCGGCGUCCCCCAGGAGGCAGUUACGGGAUCUGUUGGAUUAAACAUAAGGAGAAAGGCUGGCGGCCCGGCACAGCCUCCGAGAAGGAGCACCACUUCUCACUGACCCCAGGGCCCACAAUCACAGCACCCACACGGUUGUCUUCCCAGUUGUCGCCAACGUCUUGUAUGUCCUCAUUCCUUUUGAAGAGAGAAGAAAAGAAGUGGGUUGAGAGGUCUGGAGGAAGUCGAAAUGAAGGUGGUCACAUCGGUGUCUAAUUGCCUUCUCUCUGCUCCCGGUCAUCCCCUGUGAAUUUAUACCCGCCCUCCUUGGCCAGGCUAUGCCUCAUUUCCUUAUACAAAAUUUUUAAUUAUAAAGUACACCCCAUGCUCAACUUACCGUUUGUCUUUUAAGAGACGUAGCUGUACUUACAGCCGCUCCCCUCCCCCCCAUACACGUUGUAAUUCUGCGCACUUGCUCCAGACUUUAGGGUAUUAACUGAUUUUUAGAGCCAGUUUAAGCCUCUGUGCUGGUCCUCACACAGCUGCCAUGUCAAUAAGGAUUGUUCCAAGCAGAGACAUUCCUUCUGGCAGGACGGACACUACAGCUCCUUAAGACUUCAUCUGAAACAUCCUGAGCAC
rnacentral:lncRNA from 1 species